UACGGAGGAUGCAAGCGUUAUCCGGAUUUAUUGGGUUUAAAGGGUGCGCAGGUUGUUUGAUAAGUCAGUGGUGAAAGUCUGUCGCUUAACGGUAGGAUUGCCAUUGAUACUGUUGGACUUGAAUAUGGAUGAGGUAGGCGGAAUGUGUAGUGUAGCGGUGAAAUGCAUAGAUAUUACACAGAACACCGAUUGCGAAGGCAGCUUACUAAACUACUACUGACGCUCAGGCACGAAGGCGUGGGGAUCAAACAGGAUUA
rnacentral:rRNA from 1 species